AUUGAACGCUGGCGGCAGGCCUAACACAUGCAAGUCGAGCGAGCGGCGGACGGGUGAGUAAUGUAUGGGGACUGCCCGAUAGAGGGGGUUAACUACUGGAAACGGUGGCUAAUACCGCAUACUAUCGGAUAACCCAUAGGGGAUUAGCUAGUAGGUGGGGUAAAGGCUCACCAAGGCGACGAUCUCUAGCUGGUCUGAGAGGAUGAUAAGCAAAACGGUGACGGAGACACGGCCCGGACUCCGACGGAGGCGGCAGGGGGGAAUAUUGCAAAAGGGGCGCAAGCCUGAGGCAGCCAUGUCGCGUGUAGGAAGAAGGCGGUAGGGUUGUAAAGUACUUUCAGCGGGGAGGCGUGACCCGCAGAAGAAGCACCGGCUAACUCCGUGCCAGCAGCCGCGGUAAUUC
rnacentral:rRNA from 1 species